rnacentral:rRNA from 1 species
GACGAACGCUGGCGGCGUGCUUAACACAUGCCAGUCGAACGGAAAGGCCCUGCUCUUGUGGGGUGCUCGAGUGGCGAACGGGUGAGUAACACGUGAGUAACCUGCCCUUGACUUUGGGAUAACUUCAGGAAACUGGGGCUAAUACCGCAUAGGAGCUCCUGCUGCACGGUGGGGGCUGGAAAGUUUCGGCGGUUGGGGAUGGACUCGCGGCUUAUCAGCUUGUUUGUGGAGUAGUGACUUACCCAGGCUUAGACGGAUAGGCGGCCUGAGAGGGGGGCCGGGGACAAUGGUACUAAGGUACGCAGCAGAAGGCAACGGGAGGCAGCAGGGGAGAGUAUGGCAGAGCAAGGGGGGGUGUGUGGACGCAGCGCCGCGGGCGGGAAGACGGGGUACGAGGGGUGAACAGCUUUGUACGGAGACGAAGAGUGAGUGACGGUAAUGGGUAAGGAAGCAACGGCUAACUACGUG